CGAGCGCCAGCGAGAGAGCGUUGCCGCAGGCAACGACCCGAAGGGCGAAGCGCGCAGCGUUGAGUAAUCCUUCCCCCACCACCA
rnacentral:sRNA from 1 species